CUGCCCUGCUCUCUGGUCUUUUCAGUUUGCCUCUUUUUACAGAACUGUGUCCUACAGUGGAGCUGGGCACAGCAAUUGGAUCCCAGCCUUCUUAGCCCGCUGUUCUUGGGUUAGAGCCCCAUCCGAUGAGUAAGGACUGGCUGGAGGAAGGGGUCUGUCCGUCAUGCUCACCAGGAAUUUAGCCUCUUCAACUGGGUGCUGGGGUGAGAAAUGCUGGCAUCUGUCCCUCCUGUCCCUGCAACGGUGGCUCCGUGCCCUCAAAAGAAGGAUGAUCCCUUACUGGUCCCGCCUGACCAGCGGACUCGGCCCCUUGCUGUGCUCUCAGCCUCAAGCAGUAGCUGCUUCCUGCGCUGCCCCAGCCGUCGGCGCUGACCCCUGCCCAGCUCACAGCACUGCUGGCCGCAGCCUCUCACCGAGAGCUCCUGCCCUCAGCCUCCAGCCAGAGAAGGACUCCCCAUCUCAGCAGAGCUCAGCUCAGCGGGCACAGGCACGAUGCAGAAAUCCUUGAUUUCUCAGAUUAGGCGACGGCUGAAUUAUAAACAUGUGCCUCGCUGGACCACGGACCCGCCUGGUUCUCCCGUAACUUGCGGGGCUCCUGGACCGGCCCUUCCGAGAGGCGCAGCCCUGAGUCCCAGGAGCCGGACCUGAACCAGGAAGAGGAGGGGCGAGCACAGUCCUGCCUCCUCCUCCCCGCACACUGCAGGGGGAGUGACCCUCCACUGCCUUCCUCCCCACACACUGCAGGGGGAGGACCCCACUGCCUCCCCCCC
rnacentral:lncRNA from 1 species